UACGUAGGGGGGCAAGCGUUGUCCGGAUUUAUUGGGCGUAAAGAGCGUGUAGGCGGCCAUGCAGGUCAGCUGUGAAAACUCGAGGCUCAACCUCGAGACGUCGGUUGAAACCGUAUGGCUAGAGUCCGGAAGAGGAGAGUGGAAUUCCCGGUGUAGCGGUGAAAUGCGCAGAUAUCGGGAAGAACACCCGUGGCGAAGGCGGCUCUCUGGGACGGUACUGACGCUGAGACGCGAAAGCGUGGGGAGCAAACAGG
rnacentral:rRNA from 1 species